rnacentral:rRNA from 1 species
UACGUAGGGGGCAAGCGUUGUCCGGAAUCAUUGGGCGUAAAGCGCGUGUAGGCGGCCCGGUAAGUCCGCUGUAAAAGUCCAGGGCUCAACCCUGGAAAGCCGGUGGAUACUGUCGGGCUCGAGUCCGGAAGAGGCGAGUGGAAUUCCUGGUGUAGCGGUGAAAUGCGCAGAUAUCAGGAGGAACACCAAUGGCGAAGGCAGCUCGCUGGGACGGUACUGACGCUGAGGCGCGAAAGCCAGGGGAGCAAACGGG